AUGGCUUCAGAUUCCGGUACCCGCCGCGACGGCGUCGUUUCGCCUGCGAACAAGAACCCCCUCACCUUUCACCUCCAGAAGCUCGGCCUCGAGCUCACUUGCCCUCUCUGCAUGGGGUUUUUCAACCGGCCGACAUUGCUGCCGUGCAAUCACAUCUUCUGCAACGGCUGUGUGCCUAAUCGGAACAAUUUCGGAGCAGAGUGUCCUCUGUGUAAUAUUCAAGUUCUUGGCGAAGAUCUGAGGCAUGCGCCUUUUAUGGAAAGCAUAGUAGCAAUCUACAAAGGCAUGAAGGCCACGUACUGUACCAGCUCCUCCCCGCCUAUAUCUUCAGAUGUUAGAACAGAUUUGGCUCGCCCAGUUUCACAGGAUGUCAGUUUUACUGGGAAAACAACGACUAAAGAACCGUUUGACAAUUUCCAAGAGGGUACCAUUUUUUCAUCAAGGGGUAAUAACCGAGUUUGGGUUCCAUGUAGUCGGAAAGAUUCUGUGACAGUUGGAAUUGGCAAGAAUGAGAAAGUAGAUACCUGUAGCAUGCCGAUAGAUGGUAACAGUGAAGAAUUUGACUUGGGUACAGGACAUCAAUUUAAUGGUGAGGUAGAUCACAAGUCACCAUUACCAAGUUCUCAAAUAAGAUCUGUAACAAUGGAUGAGUGUAUGACUGCAGAAAGAGACAUGAAUCCUGUAGUGCAUUCGUUGCUGGAUAGUCCUCCUUCAUUUGGUGAUCCCAGAGGUUCAGAUAAUGAUAAUAGCUUUUACCAGCGCUCUGAGCAAAUUUCAGACAGUUCUUUGAUCAGGGGGUCAAUUAGGAAAAUUGAUGAUAGAACAGGGCAGAUGAGGCUGGAUAGUUCGGCAUCUGAUACUGAUGGUCAUUUGAGGGAACUCAAAAGACAAAAGAAACUGGACUAUGGACCAGUCUCAGGGUCUAAUUCUGAGCUGAAACUUGGAACAACUUCUAACGAGUCUUCCACAAUUAACACCAUUUGUGCCUUUUGCCAUUCUUCCACAAUCUCAGAGGUCACUGGGCCAAUGUUGCACUAUUCCAAGGGGAAAUUGGUGGAGGGAGAUGCGGCAACUGUUUCAGAUGUCAUACAUGUUCACAGGAUAUGCAUUAAUUGGGCACCUCAAGUGUACUAUAAAGAUGAUACCAUAAAAAAUUUGAAGGCUGAAGUGACAAGGGGUGCAAAACUAAAAUGCACUAAAUGUGGGAUAAAGGGAGCAGCAUUGGGAUGCUAUGUAAAAUCCUGCCGAAGAAGCUACCAUGUUACCUGUGCAAUUGAAAUUUCUAAGUGUCGUUGGGAUUAUGAAAACUUUCUGCUGCUGUGUCCAGCACAUACGACAGAUAGAUUUCCCAAUGAGAAGUUGAAUCGUAACAAGAACAAGUAUGACAUCAUUAUCUCAGCAGUGUUUACUGUUUAGUUGAGCAGAUAUUUUUCUGUCUUGGUGCCACAAAAUGUUAAUUUUGUGAUUUUGACUGCUUCAAAUGGAGUGAACAACUGGGUUUUAUGCCCUUCUGGUUUGUCUUCUGAAGAGAAGAUUCUUCUGAUCAACUUUGCUGAGAUGAACUGUGCAACUUUGUCAAAGAGCUGGACACCUGAUGUUACCCAUGUGAUUGCUGCCCUUGAUGGGGAUGGUGCAUAUGUCCGGACGUUUAAAAUUUUCAUGGCGAUUUUGGCAGGAAAAUGGAUUGUGACAAUCGACUGGGUAAAAGCAUGCAUGGAAACCAAGCAUCAUGUGGAUGAAGAACCUUAUGAAGUUAAUCUUGAUAACUAUGGGUGUCGCAGUGGCGCGAAAGCUGGCAGGCUUAGGGCACUAAGCAAUGAUCUGAAGCUCUUCAAUGGUUUGAAUUUCUAUUUUGCUGGUGAUUUUAUACUGGAGAGGAUGGAAGACUACAAAGAAUUGGUCCUAGCUGCAGGAGGUACUGUUUUCAACAGUAAGGAAGAACUGCUGGAAGCAAGUUGUCAUGAAACGGGUGCUGCUAGGACACUGGUUGUGUACAACCUUGAUCCCCCACCAGGAUGCAAGUUGGGGGAAGAAGUUUCAAUACUUUGGCAAAGGUCUAAUGAGGCACAAGAUAUAGCUGCAAAAAUCGGAGGCGAGUACGUCUUUCACACAUGGUUGUUGGAGUCAAUUGCGAGAUAUGAGUUGCAGCCAAUUGUCUGUUGA